UCAGUGCGACUGGUAGUUACAAGACGCAAGUCUUGAGGAAAGUCCGAGCUGCUAUAAGACAGAGUUCCACCUAACGGGUGGCUAGGGAAACCUAAGGGAUAGUGCAACAGAAAGAAAACUACCGCUUUUGCGGUGAUGGUGAAACGGUGAGGUAAGAGCUCACCAGCAUUUGUAGCAAUACAUUUGGCUAUGUAAACCCAACUCGCAGCAAGAAGGGAUGGUUUGGAGUCUUAUAUUCAACCCUUCGCUCAAAUUUGAUUGUGAAAUCAAAAUUUAGAUAAAUGACUACCAUAAACAGAACUCGGCUUAUGGUCGCACUUUUAUA
rnacentral:RNase_P_RNA from 1 species